AACAUAAAACAACCUAGAUGAGUAUAGUAAAACUAAAGAACACAAAUCCAAGUCAAGAAUAGGGCUAUAAAUUAGUAAACCGACCCGAGGAACCUCUCCUUCUCCGACGACGUUUUUGCAUGCGCCAGAACAAGAUCAAGAGACCUAAGAUGGCAACAGUUGCAGGAACUAACCAGUGAGUAGCUACAAGCACAGGCAUGUCAAUAUCAUCUCUGUAAAAGAAGCCCCAGUAGUUGUUUCCGGAAGAGUCGACAACCUUCUGAGUCGUGUUAGAUGUUACUGUAACAGGUGUGUCUACUGUAGAAUUUAAACCUCUACCCAAGUCGAUGACAUGAUAUCCAGGUAGCUUACGGUUCCUUCCUCUGACUUGUAAAUUGUAACCCUUUGUUCCCCAUACUUCAAACCUGGAGUCACGGCUGCAUGUCAACUCCUUCCCAACAACUCUAGAAUAGGUAGAGAAAUUCACAUCUGUUCUACGCGAUGGUAUCUGGUUCUUAUCAGCAUAUAAUGGUUUCUCCUGUCUAGCUGAAUCUGAGAAAAGCAUAGGAUCUUUCAUACUCCUGCUUGUAAAAUCCAACAUUUUCUUCAAGAGCCCAUAACAAUUGGUAACCAUAUGGCUGCUGUCCAAGCAGUUAGAGUCCCCAUAUACUGCAAUUCGACCUCUGCCAACCUCCAAAAAACCAAGAAUAGGUGUAUCUGUCUUUGUCAUGCCAGAUAAAAGGAUAUUCUGAGUGGCCCCGCUCUCUGAGCUAUCCAUGAAGGGGAAGCUGUGCA
rnacentral:misc_RNA from 1 species